rnacentral:rRNA from 1 species
GACGAACGCUGGCGGCGUGCUUAACACAUGCAAGUCGAACGGAAAGGCCCUGCUUUUGUGGGGUGCUCGAGUGGCGAACGGGUGAGUAACACGUGAGUAACCUGCCCUUGACUUUGGGAUAACUUCAGGAAACUGGGGCUAAUACCGGAUAGGAGCUCCUGCUGCAUGGUGGGGGUUGGAAAGUUUCGGCGGUUGGGGAUGGACUCGCGGCUUAUCAGCUUGUUGGUGGGGUAGUGGCUUACCAAGGCUUUGACGGGUAGCCGGCCUGAGCGGGUGACCGGCAUGAAUGGUACUGGCCAUCGGCCCAGACCCCUACGUGGUGCAGCAGUGGGGAAUAUUGCAGAAUGGGCGGAAGCCUGAUGCAGAAACGCCGCGUGCGGGAUGACGGCCUUCGGGUUGUAAACCGCUUUCGCCUGUGACGAAGCGUGAGUGACGGUAAUGGGUAAAGAAGCACCGGCUAACUACGUG